rnacentral:rRNA from 1 species
AUGAACGCUGGCGGCGUGCCUCAUACAUGCAAGUCGAGCGAUCAGACGAGGAGCUUGCUCCUCUGACGUUAGCGGCGGACGGGUGAGUAACACGUGGAUAACCUACCUAUAAGACUGGGAUAACUUCGGGAAACCGGAGCUAAUACCGGAUAAUAUAUUGAACCGCAUGGUUCAAUAGUGAAAGACGGUUUUGCUGUCACUUAUAGAUGGAUCCGCGCCGCAUUAGCUAGUUGGUAAGGUAACGGCUUACCAAGGCAACGAUGCGUAGCCGACCUGAGAGGGUGAUCGGCCACACUGGAACUGAGACACGGUCCAGACUCCUACGGGAGGCAGCAGUAGGGAAUCUUCCGCAAUGGGCGAAAGCCUGACGGAGCAACGCCGCGUGAGUGAUGAAGGUCUUCGGAUCGUAAAACUCUGUUAUUAGGGAAGAACAAAUGUGUAAGUAACUAUGCACGUCUUGACGGUACCUAAUCAGAAAGCCACGGCUAACUACGUG